CUGUUGAGCCUGGGGCGGCGCUGCUCCAGUGUCGGCGGGCGGCGGGGACACGAGUCCGUAGGUGCCGGCGGGAGCCGGAGUAGGGUGGGGACCCUCGCGAGCCCGCACUCCGCCUUUGGGUCGCGACGGUGUGAGGCGCGCUCGGGCUCCGCGUUAGCCCAGAGGCUGAGGCGCAGGACGGGUCGAGCCCAGGGCGGAAGGGGUCGGGACCGGCCGGGGCCCUGCCCUGGUCACCUCGCGGGUGGGCUGCUCCGCCGGCUUUCGUUCCUACUUUUAACCUGUCCGGCUCCGCAUCUGAGAUGGUUUAUAAAUUCCGUACCUUUGGGAGAGUUCCAAAUAAUAUAAUUUGCUUAUGUUAUUAAUUUCUAAAUGUAUUGUAAUAUCACUAUCUGAAAGUUUUUUCAUUUGAAAGAUAUAUGUACAUACAUAUAUAUGUACAUUUAUUUCUGAAUCUUGUUUCCAGUACACAUAAGGGGACUUGUAAAGUGGAUACUGUUAAGGAGAUAGGUGGAUUUUGCUUUUAAAUAAUAAAGACUUAAUUGGUGACUAUUACUGGGAUCGUUGAUACAGAUGUCUAUUUUUUUAAAAAGUGAACAUUAAAAACAGUAAAAUUGGAUUUCUGGAUUUCAUUAGCAUCAUUUAUAUCUUAAUUUAAAUGUGAAAUAUGUAAGUUAGAAACUCAUUUUUAUUUCCUUUGGAUAUUCUGAGGUAUGUGCUGCCAAUGAUUAUUUCCAAAAAAAUGCACACUCUGGUUUUCCCAGAAGUAAUGCUAGUCUCUCUGUCUUUUGAGUUUACUUGAUAUUAAUGUUUGACCUAUAAUCAUGUGAAAUUUUUGAAGAAACCUUUCUCUUAGCCAGUGGAACAUAAACUGCCUUGUAGUUCAUAUAGAGGAAGGGCACACUCUGUGCCCUGCUCCUCCAUUUCACUAGGGCGGAAUUGACUCUGAGCUCAACUCAUUCCUUUUAGACCUGCUACAAACUAGAUGAUAAUGAGCCAGAACGCCACAUCACUCGGAGUCAAGUGGUCUUCACAUACGGGCUCCCCAUUUAUUUUUACCUCACCACCCUCUCUCUCUGUUGGAGUCCAGUUAUAGAAAUCUGCCUAUGUAACCACUUGGGUUAACUCUUGUACAUGUAGACUUAUAUGUAAUGUGUGGCUUGGGGAGUGUCCACAUCAACUGAAGUGAUGAUUCCUCUUUGGUGGGACCACAUCAUGGAAUGCAAAGUUGUUCUUCUGCCUCUGUCUCCUGGGUGGCUGGGAUUACAGAAAAAUAGUUUCUAGGUACUCCAUUGGAAAAACCACUUCAGUAAAGAACUGUAGUGCCUGUUGGAGGAGAAAAUUCAGCCCUAUUUGGAGUGCAAUGGCGCUAUCUCGGCUCACGGCAACUUCUGCCUCCCGGGUUCAAGUGAUUCUCCUGCUUCAGCCUCCCAAGAAGCUAGAAUUACAGACAUGUGCCACCAUGCCCGGGUAUUUCAGGACAGCCAGGGGUGGGUGCACAUACGCUGAGAAACUGUGAGGAAAAGCAUCUGUGCUGAGCUCUGGCGUCACCAGAGGGCGCACGAACCCACCCCUGACCAACUUCCCUCUGAAGUGCCAGAAGCAGCAAGGAGCUUCGACUUUCUCAGGGCAGCACGAGGGUCGUGUCAAGUAAAUCUUGUUCAUUGGAACACAUGGGCUAGCAGGCUCUGUGUCAGUUUGCAUUUCCAGAACGAUGGCGAUGAACACUUCAUCCUGACUUUCCGUGGUGCAGUGGGACGGCCACCAGAGGGCGCGUGUCCACUGCCAGCGUCUUGAGAGCGAGGGCCGCCAGCAGAGGGCACAUGAGCCCAGUUUUUCUCAUCCCAAGGCCACAGCUUCCCACCCAUUUCCUCAGUGUAGGCCCCUGUGAGGGCAGGAGUAGGGUUCUCCUCAGCACAGACCUGGGGACACCCCUCACUUUGGGACACCUAGAGCCCGCAUCCAUGGUGAGAAAAAUGUUUUCUUUUUGCCUCCCUGACUGCUGAGGGACAGAGAUCCUUUGUGUGGAAAAUUAGAAACCAAAAACCCCAGUGAAUCCAGCGCAGCCGAGGUGCUUUCCCUGCACCCAAGACGAGGCGGCCACAGGGCCUUGCUGCAGGCUCUAAACAGAAAUGCAGCAUCAGGAGAGCAAAUAGAACACCCGCCACACUGAGAAUAGCCCCCUAUAAUACCAGUAAUGCUUCAUCUGUGGUGCUAGUGUAAGCAUCCAUUAUACAGACGUCACAUCCGUAUGGUAAGGCGGCAGCUGCCAGGCAGGUCUGAUCCCAGGAACAUGGAUGUAUCUCUCAGAGUGCACAGAAUGCCUGGAAUGCCUGUGAGUGUGCACAUAUCACCCAGAACGCCCGCCCGUGACACAUACUAACACAGCACCCGUCACACUCAUAUAACACCUAGAACAUGCGUGUGUCCCUUAGAGCAUAUGCAUAUUACCCAGAAAGCCCGUGGCAACAUCAGACUCAGAGUGCUCAUAUAUCACCUGGAACACAGAAGUGACACCGACUAUCCCAACACCCGUCACAUUCAUAUAACCCCCAGAACACGCAUGUGUCCCUCAGGGUACACAUAUCACCCAGAAUGCCCAUAACACUGUUAGACUAACACAACCAUCACAUCAUCACAUGCAUAUAACCCCCAGAACACUCGUGUCCCUUAGAACACACAUAUUACUUGGGAGGCAAACAUGGCCUUUGGAGCGUCUGCAGCACUGAGGUUGGGACCCUCCGGCUCUCACUGGGGGCACUGGUUUCACAGCCUGUGCUGGCCUGGGUUUGGGCUUGGUUUGGCCUCUUAUGAAGUGUGAUAUUGUUGUUUCUGCCUUUCUGAGUGCUACUGACAAGGUUGUGUUAAAAAGUAGUUGACUUCCCAGUAAAUCAUACUUCUGGGAAGCUAGCAGCUGCAGUUAGUAUGUCUUCUCUUUUCUCUCCGAUUCCCUAGCCGUUAUUGCUGUACCAGAUUUGCAGCUUCACACAAAAUACCCCUGUGUGUUUCACCAAAAGCAGAAACACUCCUCCAGGUGACCCCCACAUAACCCCCAAAUCAGGAAAUACACGGUUUCUUUGUUUUUCUUUUAUUUUUUGGAGAUGGAGUGUUGCUCUGUUGCCAGGCUGAAGUGUAGUCAUGUGAUCUCAGCUCACUGCAGCCUCCACCUCCUGGGCUCAAGCAAUUCUCCAGCCUCAGCCUCCCCAGUAGUGGGAUUACAGGCAUGUGCCACCACGCCUACCUAAUUUUUAGUAUUUUUGGUAAAAACGGGGUUUCACCAUGUUGGCCAGGAUGGACUUGAUCUCUUGACCUCGUGAUCCUCCUGCCUCGGCCUCCGAAAGUGCUGGGAUUAUAGGCGUGAGCCACUGUGCCCAGCCGAAAAUACAUGAUUUCUAUGUGAAAGUUCAGUCCACAGACCUACUUCACAGCCUGUCCCAGUUGGCUUAAAAAUGUCUCUUUCCAUGUGGGCCCAGUUUUCCUUUUUGGGAAUUGUUCCUGACACUUUCAGUUUUCUUUUUUUUUCUUUUUUUGAGAUGGAGUUUCGCUCUCGUUACCCAGACUGGAGUGCAAUGGCGUGAUCUCGGCUCACCGCAACCUCCGCCUCCUGGGUUCAGGCAAUUCUCCUGCCUCAGCCUCCUGAGUAGCUGGGACUACAGGCAUGCGCCACCAUGCCCAGCUAAUUUUUUUGUAUUAGUAGAGACGGGGUUUCACUUUGUUGACCAGGAUGGUCUCGAUCUCUUGACCUCGUGAUCCACCCACCUCCGGCCUCCCAAAGUGCUGGGAUUACAGGCUUGAGCCACCGCGCCCAGCCUCAGUUUCCUUUUUUCUAAGAUGGAGUUUCACUGUUUUUGUGCAGGCUGGAGUGCAAUGGUGUGAUGUCUGCUUACUGCAGCCUAAGCCUCCCAGGUUCAAGAGAGUCUCCUGCCUCAGCCUCCCAAGUAGCUGAAAUUACAGGCAUCCACCAUCACACCCAGCUAAUUUUUUGUAUUUUUAGUAGAGACUGGAUUUCAAGAUGUUGGCCAGGCUGGUCUCAAACUCGUGACCUCAGGUGAUCCACCCACCUCGGCCUCCCAGAGUGCUGGGAUUGCAGGCAUCAGCCACUAUGCCCAGCUGACUCUCAGUUUUCACAGCCUUGACAGAUGUAAAGAGCAGAGAUGACUCCACGCUGGGUCUACCCAGCCUUUCCUCCUGUACAGGUGCAGACCCUGCAUUCCUGGUAGGACCACCCUAGCCUGGUGCCGUGCUCUCCUCAAUGCAGCCCACCUGGAGGAGCUUCCGUCCAUCCCACAACCACUGGCGAUCUCACUUGCUGGAGUCUCCCUGUUUGGCUCAGGCUGGAGUGCAGUGCACAAUCUCUGCUCAUCAUAGCCUCCACCUCCCGGGUUCAAGUGAUUUUCAUGCCUCAGUCUCCUGAGUAGCUGGGACUACAGGCACCUGCCACCACACCCAGGUCAUGGGCCAUUUGCCACCUGAACAGUCAGUAACACAUGGCUGGAAAGAAACCGAACAUCCAGGGACCCCAGAGACUGCUCACUGCAGAGGAAGGAGGCAGGCAUAUCCAUGAGAUUUCUGAACAAGUAAAAACAAAGAAAACAGCAUGGGAGUAAUUUAUAAUCAACACGUAUGUGUUCACCAAGUGACACAUGACAUAUGGCACACGAGCACCCCGAGAGUAGGAUUGUAGGGCGUCUGAUGGUGAUUGUCCUUAGAGCUGGUAGGGCCCAGCCUCCCGCUGUCUGUUCACCGCUGCGUGUGCAAUCGGUGUCUCCUUUGACUUCACAGCGAUGCGCAAUCACACAGCAUAGCCUUCUCUUUCUGUGUAGAAAACUAAGGCUGGGAGAGUGUGUGCAGAGCUGGACGGCGGACUUGGGUUUGGCUCCUAGUUUCAAAACCCAUGAGUAUUUUCCUGUCUCUAACGCUAAUCUUAGCACUAUAUUUGGAAUAAGCAUAUAAACACAUAACCAGAAAUCAUUCAGGUAAUAUGCAAUUAAAUUAUAAAUAAAUGCUCAAAAUGAUGAGUGAGUGAAUGAGCUAUAUAUAAGAAUAAUAACUGGUUGAAGUGUCAUUCAUAGGAUAAAGUAGAAAUCAGUCAAAUGGCUAACAGUAUAAGGAGGGUUAAAUCAGCAUCCAGGUGUGGAAAUAGCUGAUUUGUAUAUAUAGUUUGUUCCAUGUAAAAUAUUUAUAAUGUAGUACUGGAUGAAAAAAUAUAUACUACAUUUUAUGUACAGUAUAAUCUAAAAUUUCCAUGUUUAGUUAAAAAUGCAGGAAUAUAAUUAUCAAAAUUUGAGUACCAAAUUAUGAAUAAUUUUUCUUUCUUUAAUUCAUAUUUACCAAAGACCCUCCAAGGAGAAUAUAUAGUUUUGUAGUUAGAAAAAAAAUGAUUUGUUAAAGAGAUCAUAAAUGACAUAAUACUUUAUAGAAGUUAGAAGCUGAGAUUGUGAGAAUUUCCAGGGACUCCUGCCACCAGCUCAUCUUGCGUCAUCGUUUAUAUGGAAAUGUUGGAACUGAGGUUGCCUGAUGCCCCUCAAUUCCCAGCAGCUUUCUCUCUGGCUCUCAGCCAGCCUGUUAAACAGAAAAUAAUCAGUAAGACAAUUAAAAACACCCUGGUGUUCUGAGAAGUUACACACAAUCGCUUGGUUACCAAGUGUCUACCUCAGAAGUUUCUUUGCCUCCUAGAGUGAGUGUAAUCAUCUGUUUUAAAUUCUGCUUUUGCCAUUUCACAGUCUGAGACGCAGGACUCUGCAUAGGGCAUAGAUGGAUUUCCACGGUCAGCACGAGGAUGGGAGGAGAACGGGGCAGAUCCAGCCCCACUCAGGGAGACCUGGCUGGAGUUACUUGGCUGGCCCUCACUCCAGAGAGCGGAGACCUUCCCUGGACCCGCUACCCAGACAGCCCCCAGUUGGAAAAUGUUUUCUUCUAAGGUGAGAUGCAGCCCCCACUGGAGAGGAAAACAGAGUUAAAAAGGAAAAACCAAGGGAAGCUGAGGAGCCCCUUGACAGGGGACACGCAGAGCGCACCCAGCUGGGGUGAAUCGCUGCAGCUCCCAGCGGGAUGGCGGGUGGGAGCAGCACGAGCGUCCGCGGUCACGUCGUCCCUCCAGCAGCGGCCUCCGUCCGGAAAUCCAUCUCGGGUCUGUACUCACGGGAACCUGAUGCCAGAGCUGCGCGCUGCGAGGAUUUGGAUGCCGGUGCUUCGUGGGGCUGAGCGUUUCCCACGUUUUCUGAGCCUGACGGAGCUCUUUCUCACGGGCCUUUUUUCUAGGAGCGGGAGUGCGUGGCCUGCAGACUGCGGCUCCCAUCACGGGUGGGAACCCACGACAGGGCACGUAACUUACUGCAGCCUUUGGCAGAGUGUCAGGGGUUAAAGGUCGUUCUUAAAUCUUCUUUUACCCUCAGCCAAUUAACUUCUAUGUACAGUAGAAGAUAUUUUGCCAUUUUUUUUUUCAAAAUGGAGAAAUACUUUAAAAAGUCUUUUAGAGGCAUGAAAAGUCAAUUUCAUUACGUUAAAAUCGCUAAAAGAUAGAAAAAAGUGAAAUUCGCGUAUCGAAAAAAUUAGCUUUUGGCGAAACACUAUUUUUGUUUGAAAUAUUUGUGUCAAGAUACAUAAGGAGUUUAUUCAUUCGAUUAAGUUAAAAAACUAGAUAACACGGUAAAUUCAAAAAGUAGUGAAGACACGUUUUGUUUCUGUCUCUUUAACUGAGAAACUGGCAGAUGCCUCCUGUGUGCGAGCACAGCGUAGACGGCGCGGACGCGGAGCCGAGGUUUCCUCGCCUUGGGCCGCCGCUGGAGGCGGGGCCGCCUGUUUUCCUUCCCGCUCAGCGAGCGCCGCACAAACACGCGACGUCUCUUCCCCCUAGUGGAUCCUGGCGGCACUGGGACCAAAUGUGACUGAAAAUAAUGAAAGAUUUAAAAAGUACCCAUUAUCUCCAGAGGUGGUUUAAUUCUAACAGGAGGCUUUUUUUUCCCCCUUUUUCAAACGGGCUGAUGGGUAAGAAUAAUGCAAGACUAGAGAUGGAAAAAUGCGCACUGCAUUUGCCUUUCGGCAUCUGCAAUGACCCAGUCCUUCUUCAGUGCUGCCACAGGGAGCACAUUCACACGCAUGUCACACAAAUACGGGGUUACGUCAAAAACCCAACCUUCUUGGAGAAAGCCACAAAGGCUAUGAGACCAAGCCUUCACCUAGAUGACACCUGACAGUUCAGAAGCUGAGAUCCUGCGAGGUGUCUGGAGAGCUCAGCUGUGACCCAGUGUAUGGACGGGCGGGCAGUGGGGCCAGGCAGGUGAGAGAACUGUCCACUGUUCAGCAUCAUCAGCCUAAAACCCACAUGCUAUUGCUGCAAAACUACUGACACUUGAAACCACAACCACAGAAGCAGAGGCCCUUUAUCAUCCUCAGUGUGCAACUGGUGGCUUUUCAGAAGAUGAAGAUUAAACAUAUAAAUCAAAAUUCAAAGUAUCAGAAGAAAUUCUAGGAGAUUUUCUAACCCCUGCUACCAUGACUUUUUAAAUUUUUAUUUUUGUGAGAUUCGUGAAUUAUUGUAAAUAAGCUCACAGAGGCCAAAGUGCUCCCCUGAAGUCAUCCAGAAAGAGGCAGUCGGCUAAUCCCCACAUCUGAGACAUCCGUGUUUUCUUAUGAUAAUAGAAAAAUUAAAGAUAAGGGAGAGAGAGGGACAGAAAGAGACAGAACGAAUUGGAGCUAAGAGGAAACACUUUCGUGUUUUGCCCGCAAAAUUCCCAGUGAACAUUCCCAUCGCCGGUGGGUGAAAUCCAAGGCCCUGGCUCCAGGAUCCUGCUCUUUCAUUUGGUGACUUCUGUUCAGAUUUGUCAUAAAAACAACAUGGAACUUGUUACCCUUCUCUGGACAAGUUAUGCUCAGGCUUUUCGCUCACAGGCUCCACUUUUCUGGACACCUCUUCAUUCUAAGCGUCAAGUAAUUCAGCUUCACUCUUCAGAGAAGAGCUCAGGUGUCACUUCCUCUAAGGACCCUCCCUAGACACCUCUCCAGUAGAAGGGCCCCCACAUUGCUCUUUGCACCUCUGUCCCUUGAGGUGCUGCUGUCAUCUGUGGAGGGUGGGACACUGGGAACUAGAGCCCCUCUCAUGCUGGAGACAUUCGGCACUCAAUCAGUGUGUGCUGAGUGGAUACAAGUGUGGUGAGCUUGCACAGCCUUUUAAUGUGUACUCUCAUGUCUGGCAGAGAGCCCCAUUUUCAUUCUUUGUGAAAGGAGUAAGUGGGGCUGGAUGACCCAUACUCUCUUUUCAACUCAGAAGUCCACUAUGAGCCUCACAUCAAAUAGCUUCUCAGCCAGUGCCAGGCCAGGACCCAGGCUUUUCCAUGUGUCUGUGCUCUUCCACAGAAUGGGGAGAGCACCGAGAAAUGGGACCAGCUCUUCUUCCUGCUGUCCAGUGCCAGCCAGCAACUCCAGGCUCACACAUCCAAGACAAAGACACCUGCAGGAGAUCUUGGUUAUUUAUUAGCUGUGAUUGGGCUGGAAGGGAAGAGUGUUCACUUUUAAUUUUCCAGUGAAUAGCACGAGACAGUGAAGUUUAAAAUGUGGUCGUUAUUUUUGUUUUCCGAGAAAGUAAAAGAAAGAUCUUUUUACCUUCUCAUCUUUGGAGCCACUGGCAUUAGCUGUGGACCUGGUAGUUUAAGAAAACUUGAAAAUGAACUAUGUAAACCAGUGUCUUCCAAAGUAAUAUUUUGAUAAAUACUGCAAAACCAUUGCUUAAGUGGGCAAAAGUCUAGAAGACAGGAAAACACUCCUGAAAAAAGGUGGCGAUGCACUUAAAUUCAGCGAACCGCAGGGGCAUGUGCUGUUCUGCCCCAGAUCAGAGCGUGUCAGUCACCACUGGAUGCCACUCCCAGACCACCUUCAGAACAGCUCGGUGUAAAGGUCUACAGAAUCCACAACAUAGCAAUGCAAAUAAUUUUACACUAUUAAUAAUCAAUUACAAUAUUCCAUAAUGUAAAGGCUAUUAAAACGUGUUUGUCUUCGAAGAAUGGCCUUGGUUUCUGUGGGCAGUGUCUCCUCAUAGAAAGGUAGUGCAUUCCUGCUAAUUCACGGACAAAACGGGCCUCCAGGAGCUCAGGCUGCAGCAGCAGCUUCUCAUCUACGUCCUUCACUGCAGGAGGUUGUUACUGACUUUGAAAGCUCCUUUCAUUCUAGUUUUAUCAACAGAACUAGUAUUUCAUGAGGAUCUACUACAUACCAGGUUCCAGCAAGCCAAGUGCAUUUUGUUUGUUAUUAUUCCCUAAAUACAAAUCACAACUCUCUUCUCAUUACGACAAAAUUUAGCUGAGAGAGAUUGAGUGACUUCCCCAGGGUCACACAGCUACUAAGAGCAGGCUCAUGUUUAGAUUCAUGUGUGGAUACUGAACACAGAAAUAAACCAGUGGAAACAUCAUAUAUUCCAAAAGCCUACUCAAGCCAUUUUUCCUUAUUUUAAGGAAAAUCUUUAUGCUAAUUUUAAACUCCAAAUACUUAUGAAUGGCAUAGAUCUACAGAUUUGGUGUCUGAUGUAAGAGAGGAUGCUCACCAGCUGGUUACUGAUACCACCCCACAACCCUGGGCAUACUGGACAAAUAUCUAAGCCUCGUGGUUAGUGGGGACAAUGCUGAUGGAAUCCGAAGUUGUCAUGUGCAGCCGCACCUGCAUGCAAUGACUCAUGCAAGCUUCUGCAGAUUGGGUGAUAUACAAAACAGAGAUGCAAAGAAAUGCAGUAGCUAACAUACACAGGAUGGCUCUGGGAGAUGCAGAAGGAACAUGUCACCCAAAAUAGAGCCAGAUAGACAUCCUUAAGGAAGGAGUAAAGGAGCUGCAUCAUGAAGAAUGAAGAAGAAAUUUGUCAUGAGAGAUGGGACAGAGAUAGAGCAUCAGAAUGUCUUGAGAGGCAGAGAUAGAGCAUCAGAAUGUCAGGAAGGGAGGAAAGCCUUCACCUUGCACACAGCAACAUGCAAUGCAUGAAGCUGCCUCCUUAGGGACUGAAAUUCUGUAAUCCUUUUGUGCCUGGCUUUUUCAUCCUUCAACUUCCCCUGUCCCACGCUAUGAAUGAUUUUAUUGGCCUUUUAAAAAAAUCUCAGUGACAGGGGAACACAGGUAGCUGUAAUAAAGCUGCGACCCAGAUGCUUCUGUUUCUAGCAUGUAUUAAUUUUGUAGCAAACAUUUGUAUCCAUCAUUUUUCAGUGUCUUUUGAAAAUAACUAUGCACUAUCUCACCUGAGGUAGGACGUUUUUAGUGGUUGUGUUCUGAGGGAGAAAAGCUAAUCUGUUCUAUUUGCACUGGAUUCCAGGAACAGUAAGAGGACCUUGUGCAUGAAUAAUUUGUUUCCACACUACAGAGUGGGUAAGUUGUGGGGUACUAGCAGUAAAAACAAUUCUGCUUCACUUCAAUAACAACCUCCUCCAACUGAUUUUUUUUCUCAACAAACUUAUUUUUCCAGCAGAAGAAUCCCAGGCAUCUUCGAGAAACCAGUGAUUUUUCACACCUUAACUCUGUUAAAUCCUCAUGUUUUCUUCUGCCACAUGCAUAGUUCAAACAUACAAAGAUGAAGCAGUCAGAUGCAUUCCUGAAGGAACCCAAGAAAUUCCUUUCUUUCUCUCUCUAGAACAAAAUGAAUUCUUUACACCAUCAGUUCUAACCUUCAAAAACCAAACCUGUUUAUGAGAUCGCCUUUAAAUACUACUAUAGACCCCAGGGUUUAUUCAUUAAAUUUUGUAGAUACUUGUUUUAUUUGGAAUAUAUUUAUUUGUAAUUUUGGUAUCUGUAUUAAUAUAAGGGAGAAAUGUUUAGAUCUGUCUGUGCCACAUGUGCCUCUGGCUAAACUUUGGUUUCUGUUUCUAAUUUUUGUCAGAAUAAAUAUAACUGAUCUCAAAACA